rnacentral:lncRNA from 1 species
UAGGAAAAGCCUGGGAACUUGUUUCUGCAUAUAGAUCGUUUUUAUUAGAAAUAAUAGGCUGAUUUUGUAAAAUAGUUCCUAUGUUUUAACAAAAUUACUAUUUUCAUUCGUUGACCCUUUUUUGAUAUACAAAAUUUUUUUUGAUUUUCAUUUGCUAUUUUCUUUCCACAGGUGUAUCUUCGGAAUACAUUUUUUCCUACCUUUGCCAAACAAAAUUUUCUCCAGCUGUUCAACCUAUGCAGACGGUGUAUCUUCUCUUAAGGACCUUGAUGUUAUGAAGAACUUCCUAAACGCAUCAUUCGUUCCAUACUGAUAGGAAACCUUGGAAUACUUUGGGUUGACUAUUAAUGAGAAAGAGAGUACAUUGAUAUUGAUUUUGAUGUUGCUGAAACAAGUGUCUACAGUAGCAUCAUAUUUUCUGGACUUGGUUUUCUGUCUUGCAACAGCACUACACAGUUAAUUCGGACCGAUGAGAAAGAACAAUUGGAAAUUGAAAAUAACAUGUUGUUGUUCCUCCUGAGUUUGGCUUGCUCUUCGCAGUUGCAGUUGUAUUCUACAAUUAAUUCAGGUUAUACAAUAAAUGGGAAAGAAUUAACGUUCAGUUUGGUUAUACUGAAACAGCCAAUGUCUACAUGGGUGUGGUCUUUUGUGGAUUAUAUUCUUGAUUUGCUGUUUUGUCUUCGCCUUGUAACAUCAUGCAGUUAAUUUUCAACCCAUGAGUGAUGGCAACUGGACAUUUAUUUGAAUUCCAUUGAAAUAAGUUCUCUGCUACAGUAUUCCUCCUGGAGUUGGUUUACUUUUCACACCUGUAAACUUUGGAAUAUUACAAUCAAUUCUAUAAUUAAUUAAGGUGAGGAUGCUUG